GAAUAUUGCACAAUGGGGGAAACCCUGAUGCAGCCAUGCCGCGUGAAUGAAGAAGGCCUUCGGGUUGUAAAGUUCUUUCGGUGAUGAGGAAGGCGUUGUAUUUAAUAGAUGCAACGAUUGACGUUAGCCACAGAAGAAGCACCGGCUAACUCCGUGCCAGCAGCCGCGGUAAUACGGAGGGUGCGAGCGUUAAUCGGAAUGACUGGGCGUAAAGGGCACGCAGGCGGAUAGUUAAGUGAGAUGUGAAAGCCCCGG
rnacentral:rRNA from 1 species